rnacentral:snRNA from 1 species
CUUCAUGAAACUUAACAGGCUUAGGAAAAUUACAAGACUUAACAGACCUCUUUCAGAGUUUGUAUCAGCAGUAAUUUCUGGGGAAUGGGAGACUCUUCUAGGGAGUUUCCUUCACUUUAUGCAGGGCACACCUGUGACACAGCUUCCCU